CACGUAGGGGCGAGCGUUGUCCGGAUUUAUUGGGCGUAAAGAGCUCGUAGGCGGCUUGGUAAGUCAGGUGUGAAACCUCCAGGCUCAACCUGGAGACGCCACUUGAUACUGCCAUGCUAGAGUCCGGUAGGGGAGCGUGGAAUUUCUGGUGUAGCGGUGAAAUGCGCAGAUAUCAGAAGGAACACCAGCGGCGAAGGCGGCGCUCUGGGCCGGAACUGACGCUGAGGAGCGAAAGCGUGGGUAGCAACAGG
rnacentral:rRNA from 1 species